UACGGAAGGCAGCAGUGGGGAAUAUUGCACAAUGGGCGAAAGCCUGAUGCAGCUAUGCCGCGUGUAUGAAGAAGGCCUUAGGGUUGUAAAGUGCUUUCAUCGGGGAGGAAAAACAAAACUAAUAAUUUUAUUUCUUGACGUUACCCGAAAAAGAAGCACCGGCUAACUCCGUGCCAGCAGCCGCGGUAAUACGGAGGGUGCGAGCGUUAAUCGGAAUUACUGGGCGUAAAGGGCACGCAGGCGGUUAAUUAAGUUGGAUGUGAAAUCCCCGGGCUUAGCCUGGGAAUGGCAUUCAAGACUGGUUAGCUAGAGUCUUGUAGAGGGGGUAGAAUUCCAUGUGUAGCGGUGAAAUGCGUAGAGAUGUGGAGGAAUACCGGUGGCGAAGGCGGCCCCUGGACAAAGACUGACGCUCAUGUGCGAAAGCGUGGGGAGCAAACAGGGAUUAGAUACC
rnacentral:rRNA from 1 species